rnacentral:rRNA from 1 species
ACGAACGCUGGCGGCGUGCUUAACACAUGCAAGUCGAACGGAAAGGCCCUGCUUUUGUGGGGUGCUCGAGUGGCGAACGGGUGAGUAACACGUGAGUAACCUGCCCUUGACUUUGGGAUAACUUCAGGAAACUGGGGCUAAUACCGGAUAGGAGCUCCUGCUGCAUGGUGGGGGUUGGAAAGUUUCGGCGGUUGGGGAUGGACUCGCGGCUUAUCAGCUUGUUGGUGGGGUAGUGGCUUACCAAGGCUUUGACGGGUAGCCGGCCUGAGAGGGUGACCGGCCACAUUGGGACUGAGAUACGGCCCAGACUCCUACGGAAGGCAGCAGUGGGGAAUAUUGCACAAUGGGCGGAAGCCUGAUGCAGCAACGCCGCGUGCGGGAUGACGGCCUUCGGGUUGUAAACCGCUUUCGCCUGUGACGAAGCGUGAGUGACGGUAAUGGGUAAAGAAGCACCGGCUAACUACGUG